rnacentral:rRNA from 1 species
UAGGGAAUAUUGCAAAUGGGCGAAAGCCUGAUGUAGCAACGCCGCGUGUGCGAUGAAGGUCUUCGGAUUGUAAAGCACUUUUUGGAGGGAUGAGGAAGGACAGUACCUCCAGAAUAAGCCUCGGCUAACUACGUGCCAGCAGCCGCGGUAACACGUAGGAGGCAAGCGUUAUUCGGAUUCACUGGGCGUAAAGCGCGUGUAGGCGGCUUGGUAAGUUGGAUGUGAAAGCUCCUGGCUCAACUGGGAGAGGACGUUCAAUACUGCCGGGCUAGAGGGCGACAGAGGGAGGUGGAAUUCCCGGUGUAGUGGUGAAAUGCGUAGAUAUCGGGAGGAACACCAGUGGCGAAAGCGGCCUCCUGGGUCGCACCUGACGCUCAGACGCGAAAGCUAGGGGAGCGAACGG